GAUGAAGAACGUAGCGAAAUGCGAUAAGUAAUGUGAAUUGCAGAAUUCAGUGAAUCAUCGAAUCUUUGAACGCACAUUGCGCCCCUUGGUAUUCCGGGGGGCAUGCCUGUUCGAGCGUCAUUUCAACCCUCAAGCUUCUGCUUGGUCUUGGGCCGUGCCGGCAACGGCUGGCCUUAAAACUAGUGGCGGUGCCAUCGAGCUCUACGCGUAGUAAUUCUAUCUCGCGUCUGGGCUUCGGUGGACGCUGGCCAGCAACCCCCAAUUUUCUAUGGUUGACCUCGGAUCAGGUAGGGAUACCCGCUGAGUUUAAGCAUAUCAAUAAGCGGAGGA
rnacentral:misc_RNA from 1 species